CUACCUUUGCGGGCGUUAGGUGAAGUUCAUAGCCUUCCGGCCUGAACUUGAAAAGGGAAUCCGGUGUAAAUCCGGAGCAGUACCCGCUACUGUGACACCUGCGAAUGAGAAGAAUACACACUCCAUGCCACUAUCGUACAGCCGAUGGGAAGGCCAUUCUUCUUAAGGUGCAGCCAGGAAACCUGCCUAAACAGAAUAACAAUU
rnacentral:ncRNA from 2 species